rnacentral:lncRNA from 1 species
CGUUAAAGUCCAAUAUCGAAGAUUAUAGAAUGGAAUUCUUCUCUCAAUUUUCAUUGAUUCAGUAACGUUAUCAAUGAUUGAUUGAUUGAUUGUUGGUUGCUUAACGUCCAGUGGCAAAUAUUUCAUGCAUAUUCAGGACGAGAACAAGUUCACAAUAAAUACAAUAGGUAGGCCGAUACAAUAGAGGCCAUCUUGGUCGGAGAAAUUUGGACUGCCACCGGAAAAGGAGGGUAUAUUGGAUAGGGACAGAAAUUUUGCCUUGCAACAGGCCACCUACGGACCCCUCAGAGAGUUGUUGUAAGGGUUCUUUACGUGCAAAGAGCGUGGCACUCUCUUUACACGAGGCAGCGGAUUUAACGUCCCCAUUCUGACCGGACGUGACUGCGAACUUGAUACAUCCCGUACAGCCAAACGGACGCCCCACUUCGGCAAGCG